rnacentral:rRNA from 1 species
UGGGGAAUAUUGGACAAUGGGGGCAACCCUGAUCCAGCAAUGCCGCGUGUGUGAAGAAGGUCUUCGGAUUGUAAAGCACUUUCGACGGGGGCGAUGAUGACGGUACCCGUAGAAGAAGCCCCGGCUAACUUCGUGCCAGCAGCCGCGGUAAUACGAAGGGGGCUAGCGUUGCUCGGAAUGACUGGGCGUAAAGGGCGUGUAGGCGGUUUACACAGUCAGAUGUGAAAUCCCCGGGCUUAACCUGGGAGCUGCAUUUGAUACGUGUAGACUAGAGUGUGAGAGAGGGUUGUGGAAUUCCCAGUGUAGAGGUGAAAUUCGUAG